GAGAUUAUAAUUUAAAAGGUUAAAAUAUCAUUUUGUCAAAAUGAUUAUUACGGGUUCAAAUCCCGUUAAUCUCG
rnacentral:tRNA from 1 species